rnacentral:rRNA from 1 species
AGAGUUUGAUCAUGGCUCAGAAUCAACGCUGGCGGCGCGCUUAACACAUGCAAGUCGAACGAGAAAGUGGAGCAAUCCAUGAGUAAAGUGGCGUACGGGUGAGUAACACGUGGAUCAUCUACCCUCUUGUGGGGAAUACCGCUGGGAAACCGGCGACAAUACCGCAUAAGCUCGAGAGAGGAAAGCCGAAAGGCGCAGGAGGAGGAGUCCGCGGUCGAUUAGUUAGUUGGCAGGGUAAAAGCCUACCAAGACUGUGAUCGAUAGCCGGCCUGAGAGGGCACACGGCCACACUGGCACUGAAACACGGGCCAGACUCCUACGGGAGGCAGCAGUGGGGAAUCUUGCACAAUGGGGGCAACCCUGAUGCAGCGACGCCGCGUGAGUGAUGAAGCCCUUCGGGGCGUAAAGCUCUUUCGGCAGGGACGAUUAUGACGGUACCUGCAGAAGCAGCUGCGGCUAACUACGUGCCAGCAGCCGCGGUAAUACGUAGGCAGCAAGCGUUGUUCGGAGUUACUGGGCGUAAAGGGUGCGUAGGCGGCUUUUUAAGUUUGGUGUGAAAUCUCCUGGCUCAACUGGGAGGGUGCGCCGAAUACUGAGAAGCUAGAGUAUGGGAGAGGAAAGUGGAAUUCCUGGUGUAGCGGUGAAAUGCGUAGAUAUCAGGAGGAACACCUGUGGUGUAGACGGCUUUCUGGACCAUAACUGACGCUGAGGCACGAAAGCGUGGGGAGCAAACAGGAUUAGAUACCCUAGUAGUCC